rnacentral:rRNA from 1 species
UAGGGGGCAAGCGUUAUCCGGAUUUAUUGGGUUUAAAGGGUGCGUAGGCGGUUAGAUAAGUUAGAGGUGAAAUGUUAGGGCUUAACCCUGAAACUGCCUCUAAUACUGUUUAGCUAGAGAAUAGUUGCGGUAGGCGGAAUGUAUGGUGUAGCGGUGAAAUGCUUAGAGAUCAUACAGAACACCGAUUGCGAAGGCAGCUUACCAAACUAUGACUGACGUUGAGGCACGAAAGCGUGGGGAGCA